rnacentral:rRNA from 1 species
AUUGAACGCUGGCGGCAUGCUUUACACAUGCAAGUCGAACGGUAACAGGCCGCAAGGUGCUGACGAGUGGCGAACGGGUGAGUAAUGCAUCGGAACGUGCCCAGUCGUGGGGGAUAACUACUCGAAAGAGUAGUUAAUACCGCAUACGAUCUAUGGAUGAAAGCGGGGGACCGUAAGGCCUCGCGCGAUUGGAGCGGCCGAUGUCAGAUUAGGUAGUUGGUGGGGUAAAGGCUCACCAAGCCAACGAUCUGUAGCUGGUCUGAGAGGACGACCAGCCACACUGGGACUGAGACACGGCCCAGACUCCUACGGGAGGCAGCAGUGGGGAAUUUUGGACAAUGGGCGCAAGCCUGAUCCAGCAAUGCCGCGUGCAGGAAGAAGGCCUUCGGGUUGUAAACUGCUUUUGUACGGAACGAAACGGCUCUGGUUAAUACCCGGGGCUAAUGACGGUACCGUAAGAAUAAGCACCGGCUAACUACGUG